UGGGGAAUAUUGGACAAUGGGCGCAAGCCUGAUCCAGCAAUGCCGCGUGGGUGAAGAAGGUUUUCGGAUUGUAAAGCCCUUUUGGCGGGGACGAUGAUGACGGUACCCGCAGAAUAAGCUCCGGCUAACUUCGUGCCAGCAGCCGCGGUAAUACGAAGGGGGCUAGCGUUGCUCGGAAUGACUGGGCGUAAAGGGCGCGUAGGCUGAUGGCAUCGUCAGACGUGAAAUUCCUGGGCUUAACCUGGGGGCUGCGUUUGAUACAUGUCGUCUAGAGUGAGGAAGAGGGUUGUGGAAUUCCCAGUGUAGAGGUGAAAUUCGUAGAUAUUGGGAAGAACACCGGUGGCGAAGGCGGCAACCUGGUCCUUUACUGACGCUGAGGCGCGAAAGCGUGGGGAGCAAACAGGAUUAGAUACCCCCGUAGUCC
rnacentral:rRNA from 1 species